CGUUCGUUCGUUUGUGAGGCUACACAUUUAUCUGCAAAAGAUACAUGGCAGUUUUAUAACCACAUGUAGUGUGUUACACCAAAAGUUAGUAAAAAUAUCACAUGGAAUAUCUGCAUAUGAGGUGCACUUAAAAUUAAAUUUCACACAAAUCCAAUUACCUACUAUUAACGCCAAAGUCGGGUUGCAGUUUUUCUCUACACAUUAGAUGUGCGUAAAAUAAAAGUAAAUUUAACAUGACACUCUUGUAACCCUCAUCCUAUCCAACAGCCAGUCUCACAGCUCACUGCAUUCCAGCUGUUGUAGGUGAACUAAGAUUGUGCUAAUUUAUUUUUUAUUUAUUUUUUUAAUCAAGAAACAUAAUGAGCUAUGGGUAAAUGUUC